rnacentral:rRNA from 1 species
UACGUAGGCAGCGAGCGUUGUUCGGAGUUACUGGGCGUAAAGGGUGUGUAGGCGGUUGUUUAAGUUUGGUGUGAAAUCUCCCGGCUCAACUGGGAGGGUGCGCCGAAGACUGGAAGGCUUGAGUAUGGGAGAGGUAAGCAGAAUUCCUGGUGUAGCGGUGAAAUGCGUAGAUAUCAGGAGGAACACCUGCGGUGUAGACGGCUUACUGGACCAUAACUGACGCUGAGGCACGAAAGCGUGGGUAGCAAACAGG